AUACGUAGGGGGCGAGCGUUGUCCGGAAUGACUGGGCGUAAAGGGCGUGUAGGCGGCGGUGUAAGUCUGGAGUGAAAGUCCCGCAUUCAAUGUGGGAAUUGCUUUGGAUACUGCAGUGCUAGAGUGCGGAAGAGGUAAGUGGAAUUCCCAGUGUAGCGGUGAAAUGCGUAGAUAUUACUCAGAACACCGAUUGCGAAGGCAUCUCACGAAUCCGUCAUUGACGCUGAGGCACGAAAGCGUGGGGAUCAAACAGGAUUAGAUACCCUGGUAGUCCACGCAGUAAACGAUGAUGACUAACCGUCGGCGAUACACAGUCGGUGGCCAAGCGAAAGCGAUAAGUCAUCCACCUGGGGAGUACGUUCGCAAGAAUGAAACUCAAAGGAAUUGGCGGGG
rnacentral:rRNA from 1 species